AGGUCAGUGGAAAGGAGCCGAAGAUAUCCAUACCCCAUUAUGCAAAAGGCCAGAGGGUGCAAAUGGGGGUGAUCGGCACUGCAAGUUGUCGUUGCAUGUUAAAAUUCUUCUGGCACUUGUUACACCACAUAACAUAAUUCUCAAAAUCAUUUUGCAUAGUCAGUCAAUAGUAUCCCAACCGAAGGAGCUUGUAAGCUAGUGCUCCC
rnacentral:lncRNA from 1 species